GUGCCAUAGCUCAGUUGGUAGAGCAAAGGACUUAAAAUCCUUGUGUCACUGGUUCGAUUCCCGUUGGCACCA
rnacentral:tRNA from 1 species